rnacentral:rRNA from 1 species
AGUGAACGCUGGCGGUAGGCCUAACACAUGCAAGUCGAACGGCAGCACAGUAAGAGCUUGCUCUUACGGGUGGCGAGUGGCGGACGGGUGAGGAAUACAUCGGAAUCUACUUUUUCGUGGGGUAUAACGUAGGGAAACUUACGCUAAUACCGCAUACGACCUACGGGUGAAAGCAGGGGAUCUUCGGACCUUGCGCGAUUGAAUGAGCCGAUGUCGGAUUAGCUAGUUGGCGGGGUAAAGGCCCACCAAGGCGACGAUCCGUAGCUGGUCUGAGAGGAUGAUCAGCCACACUGGAACUGAGACACGGUCCAGACUCCGACGGGAGGCAGCAGUGGGGAAUAUUGGACAAUGGGCGCAAGCCUGAUCCAGCCAUACCGCGUGGGUGAAGAAGGCCUUCGGGUUGUAAAGCCCUUUUGUUGGGAAAGAAAAGCAGCAGGUUAAUACCCCGCUGUUCUGACGGUACCCAAAGAAUAAGCACCGGCGAACUUCGU